GAGUGACAUUGUUAUAACAGUGAGAUUGGCUCCUCCACUCUUUUCUUCCUCCUUCCACCAUGGGAUGAUAACAGCAAUAAGGCCCUCACAAGAUGUGAGUGCCAUGCUCUUGGACUUCCCAUACUCUACAACUGUCAAGAAGGGAAGCCAGAAGUCAAGGCCACAGAAGACACAGGAAACAUCAUUUCCAAAGUGGGAGACAAAGCUGUUAACAGGAAAUUAUUUGUAAAGUCAAGAGCCAAGCAAAACAGAAAAAGGACAAGAAAUCUAUCACCUAUGGUAUUCAUUAGGUGAAUUGACUACAAAAUGGACUGCACUGAAAACACAUCACAUGAUUUCAACAAGGAGAUAGGAAACUUGAAUCCUUACUAAUGAGAAGGAA